UACGAAGGGGGCUAGCGUUGCUCGGAAUCACUGGGCGUAAAGGGUGCGUAGGCGGGUCUUUAAGUCAGGGGUGAAAUCCUGGAGCUCAACUCCAGAACUGCCUUUGAUACUGAAGAUCUUGAGUUCGGGAGAGGUGAGUGGAACUGCGAGUGUAGAGGUGAAAUUCGUAGAUAUUCGCAAGAACACCAGUGGCGAAGGCGGCUCACUGGCCCGAUACUGAUGCUGAUGCACGAAAGCGUGGGGAGCAAACAGG
rnacentral:rRNA from 1 species